AGCCUUCAGCAAACAACAAGUAUUGAAGGUGAUGCCUGCCCAGUGACCCUCAAAGUUCAACGGCCGCGGUAUCCUAACCGUGCGAAGGUAGCGCAAUCAAUUGUCCCAUAAAUUGAGACUUGUAUGAAUGGCUAAACGAGGUCUUAACUGUCUCUUGCAGAUAAUCAGUGAAAUUAGUAUUCCCGUGCAAAAACGAGAAUGUGACCAUAAGACGAGAAGACCCUGUGGAACUUAAAAAUAACGACCACCUCCCCACCAACACCACCCACCGGGCCCACCUAUGCAAAAUACCUGGUCGACAUUUUUCGGUUGGGGCGACCUUGGAGAAAAACAAAUCCUCCAAACCUGCAGACCACAACUCUUCACUAAGAUCAACCCAUCAAAGUACUAAAAGUAAUUUAGACCCAAUAUAAUUGACCAAUGAACCAAGCUACCCCAGGGAUAACAGCGCAAUCUCCUCCAAGAGCCCAUAUCGACAAGGAGGUUUACGACCUCGAUGUUGGAUCAGGACAACCUAAUGGUGCAGCCGCUAUUAAGGGUUCGUUUGUUCAACGAUUAACAGUCCU
rnacentral:rRNA from 1 species